UACGAAGGGGGCGAGCGUUGUUCGGAAUUACUGGGCGUAAAGGGCGCGCAGGCGGCUCUGAAAGUCAGAUGUGAAAGCCCCGGGCUUAACCUGGGAACUGCAUUUGUGACUGCAUGGCUAGAGUUUGGCAGAGGGGGGUAGAAUUCCACGGUGUAGCAGUAGAAAUGCGUAGAUAUGUGGAGGAACACCGAUGGCGGAAGGCAGCCCCCUGGGUCGAGACUGACGCUCAUGCACGAAAGCGUGGGGAGCAAACAGG
rnacentral:rRNA from 1 species